rnacentral:rRNA from 1 species
CCUACGGGGGGCAGCAGUGAGGAAUAUUGGUCAAUGGGCGGAAGCCUGAACCAGCCAAGUAGCGUGCAGGAUGACUGCCCUACGGGUUGUAAACUGCUUUUAUACGGGAAUAACGCGCCUUACGUGUAGGGCUUUGUAUGUACCGUAUGAAUAAGGACCGGCUAAUUCCGUGCCAGCAGCCGCGGUAAUACGGAAGGUCCGGGCGUUAUCCGGAUUUAUUGGGUUUAAAGGGAGCGUAGGCGGGAGGUCAAGCGUGAUGUGAAAGGUACGGGCUCAACCCGGGCCGUGCAUCGCGUACUGGCGUGCGUGAGUCCGCGGAAAGCAGGCGGAAUUCGUCGUGUAGCGGUGAAAUGCUUAGAUAUGACGAAGAACCCCGAUUGCGAAGGCAGCCUACUAAACUGCCACUGACAUUGAUGCUCGAAAGUGUGGGUAUCAAACAGGAUUAGAUACCCGUGUAGUC